rnacentral:rRNA from 1 species
GAUGAACGCUGGCGGCGUGCCUAAUACAUGCAAGUCGAGCGAACAGACGAGGAGCUUGCUCCUCUGACGUUAGCGGCGGACGGGUGAGUAACACGUGGAUAACCUACCUAUAAGACUGGGACAACUUCGGGAAACCGGAGCUAAUACCGGAUAAUAUCUUGAACCGCAUGGUUCAAUAGUGAAAGACGGUUUUGCUGUCACUUAUAGAUGGAUCCGCGCCGCAGUAGCUAGUUGGUAAGGUAACGGCUUACCAAGGCAACGAUGCGUAGCCGACCUGAGAGGGUGAUCGGCCGCACUGGAACUGAGACACGGUCCUGGCUCCUGCGGGAGGCAGCAGUAGGGGAUCUUCCGCAAUGGGCGAAAGCCUGGCGGAACGACGCCGCGUGAGUGAUGAAGGUCUUCGGAUCGUAAAGCUCUGUUAUUAGGGAAGAACAAAUGUGUAAGUAACUAUGCACGUCUUGACGGUACCUAGUCAGAAAGCCACGGCUAACUACGUG